rnacentral:rRNA from 1 species
AGGGCUUGACAUACUACAGAUCCUUUUGAGAAAAGGGAGUGCCUUCGGGAAUGUAGAUAC